rnacentral:rRNA from 1 species
UACGGAGGGGGCGAGCGUUAUUCGGAAUUAUUGGGCGUAAAGGGCGCGUAGGCGGCCCGGUAAGUCAAAGGUGAAAUCCCUCGGCUCAACUGAGGAACUGCCUUUGAAACUGUCGGGCUUGAGGCCGGGAGGGGGUAGCGGAAUUCCCAGUGUAGCGGUGAAAUGCGUAGAUACUGGGAGGAACACCAGUGGCGAAGGCGGCUACCUGGACCGGUUCUGACGCUGAGGCGCGAAAGCGUGGGGAGCAAACAGG